rnacentral:lncRNA from 9 species
AGCAGGUGACAGCAAUGACAGCAGCUGGAACUGGGGCUGUGGGACUAUGUUUGGUUUGGUUUUUUAUUCUUCUCUGUUUGCGCUCAGUAAGUACGUUGACUAUGAAGCCUCAUAGUGCCUCCUUUAUCCGAAAUGGAUGUUCUUUCUUUGUCAUCAUUCAGGAUUUUCUUUCAAUCUCAUGGUAAACUACUUGAUUUUCUUUUUUCCUUUUACCCCCUAAGAUGCUUUGCCUGAUACAUUUCAAUUCCCGAGUUUCCCUCUCCGGUGAGAGUCUUUCUUUUUCUAGGAGGUCAUUGCUUAAUGCCUCAAAAGUCUGUGAUUUCUCAACAUCGCUUCCUCUUUGGUUCACAACGGUUGAGAAUGUUUCCUUUAAGUUCUCCGGUUACAAGAAAAACUGGAAAUGUACUGUGGUAUUUUUUUUUCCCCUUUCACUGAGAUAAACAUGUUCCCGGGAAGGCAGGUACUGUUCUGUUCUUUAUGCAUGCGAGAAUUUCAGAGACAAUGAUUAACAAUAAGGAACGCCCUUAUGGCCUUUUUCUUUCCCCUAAGAGAGCAACGGACAGGAGUGGAUUCGUGAAAAUGAGUAUCAGACAGUGUGACCUGACAACUCUAAACGGGGAGGGACUGGAAGAGGAUUUCUCAGGAGCAAGUGGUGAAAUGCGUGUGAUUACUCCGAUGCGUGUUUUCAUGGAGGAUUGUGUCUCAGUCAAUCAUUCAGACACCCCUUCAACAAACGUUUAAGAACCUGCUGUACCGAAGAACGUUCUUUGUGAAAUGCUGCGGCGAAGCUAUGACGAUCUUUAGAGUAACCCUACCCCCUGGAAUUUUAGAGCCUAACAGAAGAAAAAUGUCUUUUUUUUUUUUUUUUUUUUUUUUUAGAAAGUAACACACUUGAGUGGAUUGAUCCCUAUUCGCUUGGUGUUUCAGUCUUCAAAGUCUUCCUUUUGUCCACAAAAUAGUCACAGACACCCCCCUCCCAACACAAAGAAGUUUUCUCCUCUAUUGUCCAUUUGGCCCCAGAGAGUGGAAAAACAAACUGACUUUUCCUAUGCCUCUUUAACCAGAUCGGGUUGAUUUAGGUUGUAGGUGCACUUUCAUUUGUGAGUAUACGACUGACAACAAA